rnacentral:rRNA from 1 species
CGCGUGUGUGAAGAAGGCUGCGGGUUGUAAAGCACUUUUAUUAGGAAAGAAAAGCCCGGGAUUAAUACCCCCGGGCAUUGACGGUACCUAAAGAAUAAGCACCGGCUAACUCAGUGCCAGCAGCCGCGGUAAUACUGAGGGUGCAAGCGUUAAUCGGAAUUACUGGGCGUAAAGCGAGUGUAGGCGGCUACUUAAGUCGGAUGUGAAAUCCCCGGGCUCAACCUGGGAAUUGCAUUCGAUACUGGGUAGCUAGAGUUUGGUAGAGGUAAGUGGAAUUCCGGGUGUAGCGGUGAAAUGCGUAGAUAUCCGGAGGAACAUCAGUGGCGAAGCGGCUUACUGGACCAAAACUGACGCUGAGCUCGAAAGCGUGGGGAGCAAACAGGAUUAGAUACCUGGUAGUCCACGCCCUAAACGAUGUCA